GUUCUUUACUUCCUCCAAGCGAGUCAAUUUAAAAGUGCACUUCCCUAUUUCGUUUUUUAGUUUCGCUAUGUUCAUGUAGUUGAAAGUACUCACUCAUUCGAAGUAGUCCCAACUUGGAGAGAAGAAAAACAAAAUGUUAACCUGCAGUUAGGAGACAACAUCAGUCCACUUUUUCUACUAAAUGUAACUUAGCUGCAAAAUUGUGUCUUCAUUGAGUUUUACAACCUUGCAAAGGGAAAUACAGCCCUUAAAAUUAGUUGGUAAACUCUACAUUAAAGUUAGUUAUGGCUGAUACUGAGACCGUUGUCGCUGCGGGCUGCUUGGAAAAGUUGACGUGUUACGUGACGACUCGAAAAGGAACAAUUCUCGCUGCAGAAAUACUCAUCAGUUUAAUCAUCAUAAUCUGCUAUGCUGCGUCAUUUAAUGGAGGAUAUUAUGUGGUGCCCAUCUGUGAGAUGGUGUCCGCCAUCAUCUUCUUUGUCGUCUUCAUGAUGGAAAUGGACAAGUCCAUUCAGGGGGUCAACUGGGUCUGGAGUGUGAGUACAGUGAUUUUUCCGUGCUGCUAUUGGUGCAGCCCUGUACACCAUCACCUCUCUAAUCUGUGUGAUUCGUGGAACAGGGAACAAUGCCCUUAUUGCCGGAGGGGUGUUUGGCCUGCUGGCUGGGAUCCUGUUUGCCUAUGACGUCUACACCAUCAUCCUUGUCAUCAAGAGCAACAGGCAGGAUACAGCAGCGCCCACUGAUGUUUAAGCCCUCGAAUAUAAACCCCAUCUUAGUCAUUGAAAGAAAAUUACAUUUGUGCAGGACGAGAUGACAAUGAAGAGAGAAAGAAGUGCAGCAGAUUGGAAUGAAGUUUGAUUCUCAAAUGAAGAGAUUAAUAGCAGAAAUGAACCAAUGUUAGGGUCAGAAGAGAGAAACAUCUACUGUACUAUCUAUGGCUGACACAGAGAGGAUAAUGUUAUACUGCACUGAGAUCAUUAUGUUCAAAAGAACCAUGUAAAUUCCAGGAGGGAUUCCCUUGACAACCGCUGUUCCAGUCUCGGUGUACAAUUCUACCGUCCCAUUGUUCAAUCUUUAGUCUGGUGAAAAAGGGAAAUAUGUCAAUAUUAUGCAGCAUAAGGAGGUGGAAAGCUCUGGAAAGUUCACACUAGGACAUCGUUUAUUUUCUGAUCUAAUGAACUAUUGUGUAAAACAGAUGUCUGUGUUGAGUUACAUCCACUGCUAAAGUAUUGGUUUGUAUUAGAAAUUAGAUUGUAGCAUUACAUUUAUAGAGGUGCUCAGAUGAAUAUAACAUCAUAAUGUAACAUCAAUAGUUUUGGUACAAAUGGCAUUCUCUCUCUCUUUGUCGUCACAAUUUCACCUCAGCGUCAUAGCCCUCUCCAUAACCGACUGUAAUAUAUUAAAAAUGUGCUGGUUGAAUUAAGCCAAAUUUUGCUUGCACUUAGGCCUUGGUUUAAUCAGAUCGAGUGUUAACCGGCAUAGCGGAUGUUUUGACAUAUGUUGGAGGUGUCACUGCAGUAUGAGCUGACAAAUAGGUGAGAGGCUGCUCUUGUGUGUCACAAACCACUUCCUUCCUUAUUAAUCCUACUGAGUUAGAAGUUCAAAACGGCGAUAGAAAGUGUAGGUCAAUGCAUGUUUUCAUGUUCAUUUGGAUGGUGGGGAUUUGUAGCCUAUCAGUCAAAUCGAGAUAUAGACAAUGGAAACAUCAAGCAGUGUUUGAACUUGUAAAGUGGCUGCAUGGGAUUUGUCGGUUUCAUUGCAUCCAAUAGCAUGGUCCGAGAUAAACUAACACAAGGAGCCGCUUGUGGAUUUGACAGCUCUAACGCAGUUCCAUCUCCGACACACCAAAACACCGCUAUGCGGGUGUCUGCUAGUACGUAUCUGCUAUAGAAUCUAGCCCAUUGUCAAUUCACCUUAAUUGGGGAGGACGGGCUCUUAGUACUGGCUGGCACAGAAUAAAUGGAUUGGUAUUAAACUCAAACACAUGGUUUCCAUGUGUUCGUUACCAUUCCAUUCACUCUGUUACAGCGAUUAUUAUGAGCCGUCCUCCCCUCAGCAGCCUCCUGUGCUGGAAACAUUUGUAGUGCCUUAGUUGCAUUGGUUGUUGUUUUUGCCUCUUUUUUUCUACUUACCUAGCACUGUAAGGCCUACUGGCCACAAUUAACCCUGCACUCAUAGUAAGGUUUGAUGUUCAUUUGCCACCAAAUAACUUCUCAUGAGUACUCUUGCCAUAGGAAAAUAAUGGGACAACAUGUUUUCAUUAUCCUGGUUUUGAAAUAAUCUAAUUCAGGUCAAGUUUGUUGCUUACCAGUUUUUCUUUGUGUUUUUUUAACCAAUGAUAGAUAAGAUAUUUUAAUGAGAUUUAAUGUUGUACAAGAUAAAUGUUACCUCAGUUAGUGCCCCCUUGUUAAAGUAUUUAGACAGUUUGUAUGCAGUUAUAGUAGUAAACAUUAAUAUUUUUAUUAUAGACUUGUAGAAAAACAACUGAUUUUAGAAUGAGCAAUUAAUGAAAUUAAUUAGCAAAGAAGGGCAUUUGAUCACUUGUGUGGUUGCAUUUCAGGAUGCCUAUGUUAUUGUAAUAUCUUUUGUGAAUGUUAUCUCAAAUAUAAAGUACAUUUCUCAAGGAAGAAUUUGGCCUUAAUGUUUUAUAUCGAACAGGUUUUUUAUUCAUACUUUUGUGUGUGUUUCAAAUAUUGAGGCAUAUACACAAUGCUUUGCGCAAUAAAAGCAAGUUAUUAUACAAUUAGGAACCUCUCUAAUAACUGUGUCUGCACAUUGUAUAAUCUCAUUGUUGUUAUAUACAUAGUACUUUCUAAUGACUGUGUAUACUGGUUUGUGACACUCACAAGUUCAAGGAUCUGAGUGCUCUCUCUUAAACUACCACUAGAUGGAAGCAGCUGCACUCUAAUUGGAACUUGACCAGGGCUCAUUCUGUACUUUUGUAUUUGUUCUCACACAGGACUAAAUGCAAUAAAAAUCGAAUGCUGCAAAAUA